UUCUUUUUUUUUUUUUGGCUAUCUGGACUGUGAAUUGAGGCAUGCAGGAGUAAACAAGCUUACCUGUUUGGUUGCUCAUUCCUUGCAGGAUGUGUGUGGAGGUGUGGACAGCUCAUCCACUGGCCUAACUGCCUGAGCCAGCAGAAAGGAUGACCCACAGUGCUCUCUGACAGAAGACAGUGACAUGAUAGGAGUGGUGACACAAGGCUCUUACUUUUACAGUCAAUAAUUGAUUCUUCUGGAUGGAUUGUGACUCCCUAAAGGUUGCAAAGAGAGGGAGCCCCCUCUGAGGUCUUUGAGAUUCCAGCCAGCAUUGGAAGUGACAGCCCAGAUAAGGCAGGUA